rnacentral:precursor_RNA from 8 species
CCAUGCUUUUCGGCUGUGCUAAGGUCUGUUGCUUUGACGAUGUUGCACUACUGAACCAUCUAAUCAAGCAGUGCAAUAGUAUUGUCAUUGCAUUCGGCUUUCGCCUACUCACCCACUAUACAG